rnacentral:tRNA from 1 species
GUAAACAUAGUUUAAAUAAAACAUUAGAUUGUGAUUCUAAAAAUAGGAGAUAGACUCCCCUUGUUCACC